rnacentral:lncRNA from 1 species
CAACUCAAACCCACUACGUAAAAACCCCUGGGCACAGGGCAUAAAAGCCUGCUGUGUACCUGGUUCUACAGAUGGUUCUCAUGCACAAAAUUUCAGAACCACAUUGUAGAAAAGUAAAGCAGUAUGACAUGCUUUGGAAACUGCAGAUAAUUUAGUGCAACUGUAUUACAGGUUACAGAUAAUAAGAGAUGAAUCUGGAAAAGAAAAGAAUGUUAUGGUACAUGCAUAAGAAUUCUUAAAUGACACACAAGGGGCUUGGACAGUAUGUGAAGAUUCCACAGGAAACCACUGAAGAGUUUUAAGCAAAGGGGUAACCUGAUCAUAUUUUUUUUUCCAGGAUUACCCUGGCAUCAGUGUGGAUGACUGUAUAUGAGGCAGACAUAGAUUGGAAGAAAAACUCUGGAGUGUUUUAAUUUUUCUGGUAUAAGAAGAGGAUUAGGAAAGGCUUACUUAGGUACACUUGGUGAAUAAUUGAUUAUGUGGAUGAAGGGAGAAGAAAUAAUUUUGGAUGAUUCUGAUACCCAUGUUUGCCUGCUUCCAUAUGUAAGUUUAUAACAAUAUAUAGGGGCAAAAGAUAUUUUAAAGCUACAACUCUGUACUUUUCUACUUUUCCUUAUUUUUAAUCACAGGACCUAAAUUUUACUGGAAACAUGAAGCUUAUAAAGAUAAGUUCCUGCCACUGCAGUAAGUCCAUCAGGUCAUAAGAAGGCUGAUGAAGGAUCAAGAGACAUCCUUCUCACAUUGAUUAUUUUAGGUCAACUCCUUGGGGACACCCUAGAGAUUUAUCUCUAGAUGCAACAGAGCUAAAAUGUCUACAGACAUUAUUACAAUAUAUGGACAGACAUUCCAUAGGAUAUUCUCUGAUUGGAUAAGAUUGUUGGCUAAAAGUCUAACACGACUGUUGGGGGAGACAGCAUGCACACUUGGGGGUGCUGUGAUCCAGGCAAUUUGGAGGCCUCCAUUGCAGUUUCUAUGGUUAAAUAUUGUGACAAUGUGUGUGCACAGGGGACACAUGAGUGAUAGUCCAGGGUAAUUUUAAAAAUACUGUCUUAUUAAAAGCCAUCCCAUUUCUAUUUUGACUUUUUGUGUCACAGAAUGAGACAUUCCUUUUAACCACAGCUGUGAUUUGCCUUCACAUUGAUUGUGGUAAGGAGGAAUUUUCCCUUGACUGCAGAAUGUCUUGUGACCACUUUAUAUAUUUCUUAAUUAAACUAACAUGGCAGAGGUAAUAGGGCAUUAGAAUAAUUUUAUCCAAAAUAUCUACUUCCUACCCAUGCUGAUCAAAGAGGUGCAAAUGUAGGCUGAGUUGGAUCCAUGAUCCCCUAAGAGCUUUGGCUACAUGGGAGACGAAGGGAGCAAAUACCAAAUCCAGCUUCCCUUUGGGGUUACUAGGAGCCCCCAGAAUCCUCAAAGGCUCUGAAUCACUCACUCUUCACCUCCAUAACACACACAAGAUCCUUCUCCUAUAAUUAUUCCCACCAAAAACAGUCAUAAAUUCAGGCCUUAACCAACCGUUUAAUGGCAUGCUGCUUUUUGUCAUUGCUAUCUAUUAUUUUUUCUUAAAGCACUGCCUCCUCUCUGCCAUUUUUAAAAAUUUUUAUUGACUUGUAUGGAGAAACCAAGGUAUUUGUCCUGUAGAGUGCCCAACAUUAUGGAUUUACUUUCCUUGGUUUCUUUUAACUUGUUCCCAUAUCCCCAGUAUUUCUCUAUAAUCUGGCAAUAUGAUAGUGAUAUCUACAGUCUUGACUAUCUUUGGGUUUACUGUGUUUUAUUUCUCCAAAAAUACUUGAUGGGGAGGGUGCACUUAUUAUUGUAUCAUAUCAGGAAGCAAAUAAUGUCUAUGACUAAACUAUUAUGGAUGUCAAAAUGAUCUGUGAGUUCAGAGACAUUAGCCUGAUUUCCCAUGAGACUGUCCCCAAAAACUUUUCAUACAAUUGUUUCAGCACCCAAUGGUGAGGGAUGCCUAUAUUCAUACUUUUGUUAGGAGUAUUUUCUAACAUUUUAAUGCAUGUAUUAGGUGGAAUUCUAUGAAUGACAUCCAUAUACUAUUUUCCCUGUGGUACAGUUUUUAAAAAAUAAACAAAAAAAGGAUAAAUGCUUUAUUCUUUCUGUUAAUUCAUCGUUUUCAAAUGAAUGAGAUAAUGCCCUAGAAACCUCCAAAAGGUACCAAGGAGGUGAGUGUGUGUAUAUAAUCAUAAACUCAGAUUUCUAUAUAUUUAUAUACAUUGUGGUCAUUAUUUGUUUUGAUGGCCAUAUUGUCUCAUUUUAGGUUAGUGGGAGCUCCUUAAUAUUGCUCCCGUUUUUGUGACAUGAUUCAUUAGUCUUUGAUAGCUUCCUUGAUUUCUGGAGUAAGAUGGCCCAAGUUUAUUUUACAUAUUUCCUGCCCCAGACCUGGAUUCAGCUAUUCUCCUAAGAGCACUGGUUCUUAGGAACCAGUGAGUAAUAGUAUGGAGAGACCACAGUCUUGAUGUUCAUUGUAACUACUGCUACUGAGUUGUCAUUACUUCAAGGACUUUUCAAUGGAAAAGUGGGAAAUACAGAUUUUUUGAUAGAGAAAAUCAGUUAUUAAUUUAUAUGAAUAUUUCUAAUUCCAAUUUAAGUCAAAGAUUUUUACUUAAUUUCUUUCAUUGUAUACUUGUAUCUCAUUUUCUCUUAACACUGAAAAUCCUGACUUCUAAAGAAAUGUAACUACUUGUUUUCUUACAACAUAGUAUUCUAGAUACAAUAGGUUCAAAAUAACACCAGUAUUACCAUUAACAAUGAGACUACUAAAUGCAUUUUCACAGUGCACUAAAAUCUCAGAAUUCACUGCAAUAUAAUUCAUCCAUGUAAUAAAAAACCACUUGUAACUCCAAAACUAUUCAAAUAAAAAGUAAUAACAAAUUUAAAAAUGCAUUUUGAGAUUUCUUCAGAAUUUUUUCACCUUUAUAUUCCCCAAAAGACAUUCUCAUAUUAAUUUGUGAAGUCAUUGAAAAUAAGUAUAUAUCUUUUGUGUAGUUUUGCCACUAUUUGGUAUUCAGUUGGGUUUGAAUGCUUAAAGAAAUGCUUUUUCUUUUUUAUUUAAUUUUGAUUAUUAAUUAUGUCAAAUAUUUACAUGGUCCAAGAUAAAAACUAUAUCACAGUUAUAUUUACACAAAUAUUAUCUCCACAACUGUCCACCCCUCUGUUCUCUCCAAACCUCUAUAGGUAAACAUUUUUAAUAUCUUUAGUAUCUUCUGUGAUGUUUGUGUAUAUGUGUGUUUAUUCAUACUGUUCUAGGCCCUGUGUUUCUUAUGUAUCCUGGGAGUCAGAAGAUAUGCAUAUAUAGAUAUUUUGCUAACUCCUCAUCCAUAAAAUCUUCAACCAGUCCCUGACUGAAGAGUACCUGGUUUGCUUCUAGCUUUCAGCAUCAUUCAAAGUUCUCAGGCAUAUACCUAUUUGUCAAAAUAACUGGGAUAAAUUUUUAAAUGAAAGAUUGUUCAAGCAAAAGGUAAACGCAUUUGUCAUUUUGCAUAUUUAAUUUGUAAUUAAAUAUGUUAAUCUUGCUAUGAAAACAUAAGAAUUUAGAAAAAUUGUUUUAUUACAGAGAAAGAAAAAACCUAUUUCAUUGGUAUGACCAUAUUUAAUCAAUGAUAAUUUACUGGUGAAAUUUAAAUUAUUAAAUUUAUGCAUGGUUUCUCAUGCAUGGUUUAUAUAAAUAAACACCUUAAACAGUAUAAACAUUUGAAAAACUUUACUUUCCUUGGUUUUUU